AGUGAACGCUGGCGGUAGGCCUAACACAUGCAAGUCGAACGGCAGCACAGUAAGAGCUUGCUCUUACGGGUGGCGAGUGGCGGACGGGUGAGGAAUACAUCGGAAUCUACUUUUUCGUGGGGGAUAACGUAGGGAAACUUACGCUAAUACCGCAUACGACCUACGGGUGAAAGCAGGGGAUCUUCGGACCUUGCGCGAUUGAAUGAGCCGAUGUCGGAUUAGCUAGUUGGCGGGGUAAAGGCCCCCCAAGGCGACGAUCCGUAGCUGGUCUGAGAGGAUGAUCAGCCACACUGGAACUGAGACACGGUCCAGACUCCUACGGGAGGCAGCAGUGGGGAAUAUUGGACAAUGGGCGCAAGCCUGAUCCAGCCAUACCGCGUGGGUGAAGAAGGCCUUCGGGCUGUAAAGCCCUUUUGUUGGGAAAGAAAAGCAGCAGGUUAAUACCCCGCUGUUCUGACGGUACCCAAAGAAUAAGCACCGGCUAACUUCGUG
rnacentral:rRNA from 1 species